GAUCAUGGCUCAGGAUGAACGCUGGCGGCGCGCCUAACACAUGCAAGUCGAACGAGUAAGACGCCUUCGGGCGUGGAUAGAGUGGCGAACGGGUGAGUAACACGUGACCAACCUGCCCCCUCCUCCGGGACAACCUCGGGAAACCGAGGCUAAUACCGGAUACUCCGGGCACCCCGCAUGGGGGCCCGGGAAAGCCCUGGCGGGAGGGGAUGGGGUCGCGGCCCAUCAGGUAGACGGCGGGGUAACGGCCCACCGUGCCUGCAACGGGUAGCCGGG
rnacentral:rRNA from 1 species